rnacentral:rRNA from 1 species
AUUGAACGCUGGCGGCAGGCCUAACACAUGCAAGUCGAACGGUAGCACAGAGAGCUUGCUCUCGGGUGACGAGUGGCGGACGGGUGAGUAACGUCUGGGAAACUGCCCGAUGGGGGGGGAUAACUACUGGAAACGGUAGCUAAUACCGCAUAACGUCGCAAGACCAAAGUGGGGGACCUUCGGGCCUCACACCAUCGGAUGUGCCCAGAUGGGAUUAGCUAGUAGGUGGGGUAAUGGCUCACCUAGGCGACGAUCCCUAGCUGGUCUGAGAGGAUGACCAGCCACACUGGAACUGAGAAACGGUCCAGACUCCUACGGGAGUCAGCAGUGGGGAAUAUUGCACAAUGGGCGCAAGCCUGAUGCAGCCAUGCCGCGUGUAUGAAGAAGGCCUUCGGGUUGUAAAGUACUUUCAGCGGGGAGGAAGGCGGUGAAGUUAAUAACUUCACCGAUUGACGUUACCCGCAGAAGAAGCACCGGCUAACUCCGUGCCAGCAGCCGCCGUAA